rnacentral:lncRNA from 1 species
CUAUAUAAGAAUAUAGAUGCCAUAUGGCUAAUCAUGCAGAAUAAAAUCAUUAUUCCCUUAUGCUUAUCUUGGAGGUCUGAUCUUCUCGAAGUAAUCAAUUUUUUCUCUUCCUUUUGAUAUGGUAGAUCUUUGAGAUACAAUAACAACUAGCAAUAAUAUUGGAGUAGAAUAAGAAACUCUUCAUCGACCAUAAUCGAGCCUUUCCUGAUGUUAAGGCUUUGAUUACAAGCCUGGAUCUUAAGUAUAGCCAGACAUAGACUCAGAUGCAGAUGUAAUCUUCUAUGGUCGAGGGUUCCUCUAAUAGCAAUAGUAACAAUAAUCCAUUGCAAUGGGAAGGUUUUGAUUUUCAAUCCAACUUUGAAAAUUUAGUCCAACCUCAAAUCACAAGAGUUGAAUUUCCUUGUUUCAAUGGCGAAGAUCUGACGGGAUAGAUCUAUUGGCUGAGCAAUUCUUUAAAUUUAAUUUGAUUUUAGAGGUGCAAAAAAUUCUAUUAGCAUUAUUCCUUUUGGAGAAGGAGGCUCUUCAAUUGUAUCGGUGGUUGGAGAAAAGUCACGGUACCGUGUCUUGGAAAGAAUUCGUGGAUGCUUUUUGUGCUCUCUUUCAUUUGAGCAUAUUCAAGAAUUACAUUGGAGAACUCACGAAGCUUUGUCAAU